GAUGAACGCGGCGGCGUGCUUAACACAUGCAAGUCGAACGAAGCUGCUUAAAGGAAGUUUUCGGAUGGAAUUUAGGUAGACUUAGUGGCGGACGGGUGAGUAACGCGUGGAUAACCUGCCUUAUACAGGGGGAUAACGGAGAGAAAUUUCCGCUAACACCGCAUAAGACCACAGCACCGCAUGGUGCAGGGGUAAAAUAUUUAUAGGUAUAAGAUGGAUCCGCGUCCGAUUAGCUAGUUGGUGAGGUAGAGGCUCACCAAGGCGACGAUCGGUAGCCGGCCUGAGAGGGUGAACGGCCACAUUGGGACUGAGACACGGCCCAAACUCCUACGGGAGGCAGCAGUGGGGAAUAUUGGACAAUGGGGGAAACCCUGGUCCAGCGACGCCGCGUGAGUGAAGAAGUAUUUCGGUAUGUAAAGCUCUAUCAGCAGGGAAGAAAAUGACGGUACCUGACUAGAG
rnacentral:rRNA from 1 species